AUACUUACCUGGAUGGGGUCAAUGGGUGAUCAAGAAUGCCCAUGGCCUAGCCAAGUGACCUCCAUUGCACUUAGGAGGGGCGCUAGCCUAAGGUCUACCCAAGUGGUGGAGCCUACAUCAUAAUUUGUUGCUGUGGGGGCCUGCGUUCGCGCGGCCCCUUU
rnacentral:snRNA from 1 species